rnacentral:tRNA from 2 species
ACAACCGUAGCUCAGUUGGCUAGAGCACUACCUUGACAUGGUAGGGGUCGGUGGUUCGAAUCCACUCGGUUGUACCA